AAUUAAUUUUGAUCCAGUCUAGGGACUGCAUUAAUUUUGAUCCAGAUCUACCAGAACUGUAUCAAUAUACAUCACCAGGUAUUCAGUAUUGUCAUGUGAGCAAAAUAAAGCAACAUGGUUGGCUAAUUUACUCAUGAAUUAUUAAUGAGUUUGAUAUGUUACAGUUGAACUGUAAUUUGCUUAUUUGCUCCUAGUAAAGUGUUAUGCAAAGCUAUAGUAAUUCGACUGUAUAAUUUUUGUAUUCAGGUAGCAAUCGUUACCUCCGUUCCACCAAUUCCUUCCUGUUUUCAUUCCGUAACAAAUACAACCUGAAGCCAUUCAAAGCGCCCGUAUACAGAAACCACAACAAUGCUAUCUAUACCAACAAUGGUUAUGGUCCCACUUUUGGAGGAGGUCACGACCUCUACAUUGUAACCAACAGCAACGUUAAGACAGGAUCGUACACCAACCUCGGGCACACCUACAAGCCUCCCUCUGGUUACGGUUAUGGUGGAAGCAACACCAGAAGUAUCUUUGCUGGCAACUAUAAUCGCUUUCGUAUAUCCGAGAUCGAAGUGUUCUACUAUCACCAGUAACUUUGGCAUGACCAGUUUCUUGUUAUAUUAAACUAAUUAAAGUUUGUGGAUUUGAAGUUUAAAAACAAGCUUGUAGUUUGUAGAUUUUGUUGUCCUUUGAAGUGAAAUAAAGUUAAUGUUUCUUUGCA